rnacentral:rRNA from 1 species
UACAGAGGUCUCAAGCGUUGUUCGGAUUCAUUGGGCGUAAAGGGUGCGUAGGCGGCGCGGUAAGUCGGGUGUGAAAUCUCGGAGCUUAACUCCGAAACUGCAUUCGAUACUGCCGUGCUUGAGGACUGGAGAGGAGACUGGAAUUUACGGUGUAGCGGUGAAAUGCGUAGAUAUCGUAAGGAAGACCAGUGGCGAAGGCGAGUCUCUGGGAUGAUGCUGACGCUGAGGCGCGAAAGCCAGGGGAGCGAACAGG